AACAAAAUUCUCCCUAUCAUGCUUCCGAUUUGGUUUAUCUAAAGAACCUAGAAUUCGGCUUCUUCUGUAUUAGCUUCUUCUCUUAUUAAUCAACCACUAGAACCCAGGGCAGCUAAACAAAACCCAAAGAAGAAACAGUAUCGGCCGUUCUCUGCUCGGCGACGAUAUUUGAAAUAGGAGAGCUGAUCGGAACGUUUACGGUACAAGUUGGCAGCAAGUCUAGUGAUUUCAAAGAAUAAUGAUCAACGUUCGAGAAUUGUUGAAAUUGCUAGAAACAUUCCACUACUGGAAUAUUUUCGGUCACUCAAAGAUUAGUAUAAAAGAAUGAAUAGGAUACUGUUUAUGAGUUAGUGAUUUAGUGAUUUUUUUUUUUUUUUAAUGAAUGGGAGAUUGAAUUUUUAUCUUUCAUACAGCAAUUUAGUAAAUUGUUUUUUAUUUUUCUAAUGAAUGUGAGGCUGAAUUUUUAUUUUU